GCCGCCCCUCCUUCUCUUCCCCCCUUCCGUCACAAAUCAAGCACCGCCGGUUGUGAUUCCGCUGCAUGCCAACCUCCUUCUCUCUGAAGGUCGCCGCCCCUCGCCCCUACCCCUUCCUCGUGCACCGACAGAUCUUGGCACUGGCACACCAUAGGCACUGCAAGGUGAGCCCAUGCGGCGAUGGGACAAGAGGAAACAUGUGGCUACUCGGUUCCAUGGUGUAUAGGGAGACUGAGCGACGGCAGUGAGCAGGGACUUGGGCUAGCGCCGAUGAGCAGGGAACAACAGCGGCGGCGCCUGCAAGCACCAUCCUCCAUUGACAAGUCUCCCUCUAUUGAAGCUUGGGGAUCUUACGACGACCAAUAUCUGCGGCUAACGAACAAAUUAUAAAUGACUGCUCUUCGGGGAAGCCCCAUGGAUAAUUGGCUCUCUUCAAUGGGUCUACUACUGUGUUAUUACCGGCAAGACAUCAUUGCACCGUUCUCAUCCAAGAACUUCUUAUUCAAUUUCAUGUUCAUAUUUUGGAAACUAAUCAAGAACCGCCAGCUUUGUGUGUGCAGCAACACUCAGAU